AAUUUAGACUACUUUUUGAUGUAAGAAUUAGCUGGAACACGAGGCUACAUUUGCCAGCAUAUAGUCUCUUUAAGGUUUGGAACUUUUCUACAGAGUGCUGUGGGGAACUGUGCCUUCAAUAUGCUUGCAAGUGGUUAGCAGCAGGAGGUACAGCCUUCCUGGAUUCAAUUGUGGUCCAUGCAAUGCUCUGUGGUAACACUGAGACAUGGAAUUUUGGGAUUGAUUACCCUGAGGCUUGGUACCAAAGAGGCAGAUUGAUCUCACAGUAGGAGACAUUCUUUUGUGAUGAAAGCGGAAGAUUUUGUUACACUGCAGACUGCACCAGAGAGCUGACAGAGAACAUACAGAAAGGAAAGAAAAAAAGAGCUGCAAUUUCAGUUUCAUCUUCCUAGCAUAUCAGAACAGGGUCUGUACUGCAGCAUUAGAGAUGAAGAGAAAAAACCUACAAGAUAAAAUAUUAUAGUACGUAUGUGUACUGAAGAUGGGUGAACAGCAUGGAGCAAAUACAAGCCCACUUGGACCAGCACUGUUUGUAGUAACAGAAUGAAAAUCCAGCUUCUUGGUUUUGAGUUUGGCAUAUUCAAACAGUGUGGCAGGAUCACAACACAUCAAAGGGGUAUCUAUAUGUCAGCACCAAGUCAAAAAGUUCCUGUUUGGGAAACCAAAAUUGUAAGGAUAUGUAGCAAGUUAUUAAUACAGGCAUAAUUAUGAAAUGAAAUGUUGUCACUCCCAUGCUACUAUGACUGGGCUAUUAUCUGUGUGAAGCCUCUGAGCAUUCCCAGUGUAAAUUAGAUUUGUUAAAGGAUUUUUGUGGAAUACUGCGUAGACACAGACUGAGUUGAGUGCUCAGGCAUUUAGUAAGUGUUUGGACCUCCUCCCAAGCCAGCCUGCCUCCUGAGUGCUUAUUCAACAUUUAUACUGUGUCAGCAGUUACAUCAAACCAAAGAUGGAGUCGUUACUUACUUCAAGUUUACUAGCUUUGCAAGGAAACUUUGGAGAAAAAAAUAAUAUACAUUUAAACAGACAGUUUGAUAUUUUUCCCAUUACCAAGGAAACUGCAGAGAAAGGACUUUAAGUUCAAGGCAAUAAUGUUUUUUCAUGCGGUGAAAUGAGCAAUUUUGCAGUUAUGGAUUGUUUUUACAUGGAGCUUUUAGAUAGUUGCUCCCAUACUUUCCAUAUGUUUUCUCACUUACAUAGACAGUUCCAUAGCAGUAACUUCAUACAUAUCCUCUAAAGUGCUGUACACUUGCAAGCCAUCCAUGGGGUACAGGGAAAAAGAGAAGCCAACCAUUUCCCCAUACAGUGACUGUUAUAUUCUGUCACCUGAAGUCCAUUCUGAGCUUCUCUGGGCUAUCUUUGCAACACAAUGACAUCUGCAUGUUGUCCAGUUAUACCAGAAGAACGACAGAAGAUACUGGAUGUGGUUUAAUUAGGCCAUAACUUUAUUAUUAAGUGUUUUGGAGUACCGGCAUAUAAAAGUGUACCGUGCAGGUAACUCCAUGAUUAUUUCAAUAUCUACUUGGCUUGAAUCUAUAUAAUCUCCCCUCUCCUCUGGUCACCUGCCUCUGCAGCUACUGUGUGUCUCUCUGCCCUUAAAGAGGUAUACCCCUUCCACUGGCAAGCCAGACUGUGCCCCCAUUCCCUGCUUAAGGUGCGGUCAUUUGCCACACUUUGUGGUUUAGUCCUAAAUUAGAACCCAAAGCCUCUUGUUUAGCAUUGUUACUAGUCACAAUUCCUACUGUAGUUUAAGAAAGCUGUUUAAGCCAUGGCCAUUUUUUUUUUAAACUACAGUAACAUCAUUAACUUACAACUGGUGAUUUUCUACAAUACCACAGUCUUAAAUACCCAUUUUUCUUCAUCCAUUUCAACAAUAUUCACCUCUAGUUGCAUGUAUUCCACAGAGUAAUGAGCAAAAUAUUUCUUUAGCUAUAUUUGUGUGUAUGUGAAAUGAGAAUGGAUUGUGUGAUUUUAGCAAUAUGAAGAAUAACCUAAGUACUGAUUUGGUUGUCUAAAUACUGAUGAUCUGUCAUAGAAUAUAUCAGUGACUCCAUCCCACCCAAAUGUGAAAGCAUCACUUUGCUGUUCAUAUAUGAAAUAGUGUUUCUUGGUGAAAAGACUGUUAUUAAGUAAUGAAUCUGAUUAAUUAUGUCAUCUAUCAGAAUUUUGUCUGUGUGUCUAUAAAUACAUACAUAUAUGUAUGCUGCACCCUGUACAAGUCUGUUUCAAAUUUUGUAAAUAGCGUUUAAGGCUAAGCUAUAGAUACUUCUAUUUAUAUUUAAAAGUGGCUAUGUCAUCUGAAUAAUGUUCACAUUCUCUCUCUCUCUCUCUCUCUCCCUCCCCUCUUGCCUCCAAUUUUACUUAUGUAGAAAUAGAAAGAAAUCUGGCCUAAUAUAGUUCACGAGUAAAUAGCCAACUUGUAGAGAUACAAGACUUUCUAAAAUGUCAUUUUAGAAAAGAAUACGCUAUUUAAAAGGUCAAAUUAAAUAAGACACUGUUACGACUAAUUUGCUUCUUUUCCUAGGGUUUAUAAAUCAACAUCUCAUAGCUGUGAUUAUGGAAUAUGUAACUGGGUCAAUUUUUUCAGCCUGGCCUUAGCUGGGUCUCAUUUAUGGUCACAGAUAAUUAUAGGUGUAAUUUUACACCCUCAAUUAUUUGCAACUGAAUGAAGGCCAGUGUCUGAAAAUCUGACCCAUAAUAGCUUUCCCUGUCACUGCCUCCAUGCAGGUUUAAUAUGUUGUUUAAAAAGAACAAAAUGUGAACUUCCUUGCCUUCUCCAAAACACAAAGAAAUAGUUUAAUAUUAAAAUCAACCUGAGUUAUUUAAAAUAUCUGCACAGUAUAUCAAAGCCAAAGUACCAGUCUGUUCAUAAAACACUAUUUCCACAUUAGCAGAAACAAGCAAAGUUUUUCAUUAUCGGACUGAGAAUAAAGAAUUAGAUUAGUAAUUUUCUCUCUUCAUCAUUAUCUCAGCCCUGCUGCACAAAGCUGUUGUAACCCAGAUGGAAUGAUUCUUGUCACAAUAUUAUGCCAGUGAGUUGCUCUCAUUUAGUCAUAAAUUUAAAGUCAUUAUUGAGCAAAUGAGAUUGGUCUGUCUGUAUGACGAAUACCAAUCUGUAGCUAAUUUCUCUCUUCGUCAAAACAAAUAUAAAAGGCUUUCUAUAGACCCACUUCUUUCAAGUAGAUUUUUCAACAGUGAUACCCAGGCACUAAUUUACAAAACAAAUAAUAUUUAAAAAAAAAUGGAAGCCAGCAUUUAGAUUACUUCCUCAACUCCAUCCCUUUUUUUUUCUAAUGCUAUCUCUCAGUAGAUCACAUUUAGCUUAUUACAUCUUCCUUAAAUCCAUAUGCUACUAUUCAUGAAAGAAUGAGACAUAAUGCAUUUUUGUUAUGAACUCUAUUUUUGUACUUCAUUUAGGCUGUGAUCCUGUAAGGUGUGCCACAUUAAGCCCCCCGACUUCAGGCAUCCACUUGUAUGGCAAGUGCAGGAGUGGGGAGUUAGACCACUCCGAUCCAGCAAAGCACUUAAACGUGUCCUGAGUAGCCUCAUUUACAUCAGUAGGACUACACACGUGCUUAAUAUUAUACAUGGGCCUAAGUGCUCUGCUGGAUAGCUUAGAUAUGAAGGCGGCAGGUGCCUUAAAAAUACCAAGCUAAAUCCUCAACUGGUGUAAAUUACUUCAGUGGAGCUAUGUAGAUUUACAGUAGCUGAGGAUCUGGUCAACUGUCUCUUAUUUGUGUCUAUAGUGCUGUAUAAAUCUAUUAUUAUUAUUUAUUAUUUAUUUUUAGUCAUUUAAGUUGCCCAGAGGCAUUCUAAAUUGGUGAAAAUCUGUUUAAUAUCCAUGGGCCAGAUUCUGCCAUGCUUACUUACUUACCCUAAGCAGUAUCUUAUUCCAUGAGUAGUUCCACUGAAAUCAAUUUGAGUAAGGUUGGAAUAAUCAAGCCAUCGGUUGAUACUAUUUGUCUGUGUUCUUACACCUAACCAUGUGAGUAAUGGGAGCAGAAUUUGGCUCACAGAAGUAGAACAGUCUAAUUCUAAAACAGAGGAUUGGCAAGAUUCUUAAGUUUUGCCUCAAUGUGGCCUGAAUCUAGAAACAUGUUCCCAAGGGUGCUGUGCAUCCCCAAUACACAAACUGUACAUUAAUAAUUAAUUUGAAUUCUGCAGCAAAUUUAAAUUUUUAGGUAUUCAAUUUAAAAAUCUGACAGAUUUUUAGACCUACAACUUCCCUUCAAGUUUGUUGGCUGUAUUUUUUCAUUAAUAUUUCUAUUAACUGUUUUUAUCAAUGUAAGUAUAGAUUAGUUGUUACCACUUUUUUAAACCCAGAAAUCCCUAACCCAUGCAUGCAAAAAAAGGUCAAUUAGCAAAGUAGUAGAUCAGCCAUACCAAGAAGUGAUACCUAGACAAAUGGCCACAUGUCUUGGGGUAUUAAUAUUUGCAUUUAGGGAGCUGCUAGUUGUUAGAAGUUUUCAAAUAUAAAUUUGUAUUUGUUUUUGUAAUGUUAAAUAACUGUCACAGUGUUCAGAGCCUAUGUAUGGGCCCUCUAUAUUAUUAUUCCAAAUGGAAAAUAAAGAAAGAAAUAGAUUAACUUAAUGUACCUCACCAAUUCAGCAUUCCCAUGUCUGUGUUUGUUGCCUAAUUAUUUUCUCUACUCACUCAUCCUCUUGUAAAUCAAGAGUAACACCACUUGAGUCAAUUCUGUUACACU